rnacentral:rRNA from 1 species
GUGGGGAAUAUUGGGCAAUGGGCGCAAGCCUGACCCAGCAACGCCGCGUGAAGGAAGAAGGCUUUCGGGUUGUAAACUUCUUUUACCAGGGACGAAACAAAUGACGGUACCUGGUGAAUAAGCCACGGCUAACUACGUGCCAGCAGCCGCGGUAAUACGUAGGUGGCGAGCGUUAUCCGGAUUUAUUGGGUGUAAAGGGCGUGUAGGCGGGACAGCAAGUCAGAUGUGAAAACCAGAGGCUCAACCUCUGGCCUGCAUUUGAAACUGUUGUUCUUGAGUGUCGGAGAGGUAAUCGGAAUUCCGUGUGUAGCGGUGAAAUGCGUAGAUAUACGGAGGAACACCAGUGGCGAAGGCGGAUUACUGGACGAUAACUGACGCUGAGGCGCGAAAGCGUGGGGAGCAAACAGGAUUAGAAACCCUUGUAGUCC